UUGGAUGCAACCUGCGUCACUUUGG
rnacentral:sRNA from 1 species